GCUCUUCCUCUAUACUUUCUCUCACUAGUUGAACAUUUUGAGAGAGAGAGAGAGAGAUAGACUUUCCUUGAUAGCUUGAAGAACUCUUGAAAAGAAUUCCACUAUAAAGCCACUAAGGUUCCAAUGAGACUCCACAUCUCCAUUCGGAGCAUUAGAUGCAGUUAGAGUCAAUCAAAGCAUCAACAAAGACACUUUUUCAAGUUCGAAGGUAGUUGGAUUCCUAGGCCAAGGUGCUUCUUCUUAUCUAUUUUUCGGUAGGUCGCCUAGAGUCACUCCAUUGACGGUUAAGGUCUUUGUAUAUGCACAUAUAUAUUUAAUGUGAAUUGUUAAGAUACAUUUGACAAACUAUUUAUGUAUAUUUUAAUUUA